rnacentral:rRNA from 5 species
ACUUUAACACUGAGGCGUGACGACGAGGCACUACGGUGCUGAAGCAACAAAUGCCCUGCUUCCAGGAAAAGCCUCUAAGCAUCAGGUAACAUCAAAUCGUACCCCAAACCGACACAGGUGGUCAGGUAGAGAAUACCAAGGCGCUUGAGAGAACUCGGGUGAAGGAACUAGGCAAAAUGGUGCCGUAACUUCGGGAGAAGGCACGCUGACACGUAGGUGAAGUGAUUUACUCACGGAGCUGAAGUCAGUCGAAG